AUCUAUGGCCACGCCACCCUGAACAAGCCCAAUUCCAUCUGAUCUCAGAAGCUAAGCAGGGUCGGGCCUGGUUAGUACAUGGAUGGGAGACCACCUAGGAAGACCAGGUGCUGUAGGUG
rnacentral:rRNA from 1 species